UCCAGACUCCUACGGGAGGCAGCAGUGGGGGAUAUUGCACAAUGGGGGAAACCCUGAUGCAGCGACGCCGCGUGAGUGAAGAAGUAUUUCGGUAUGUAAAGCUCUAUCAGCAGGGAAGAAAAAAGACGGUACCUGACUAAGAAGCCCCGGCUAACUACGUGCCAGCAGCCGCGGUAAUACGUAGGGGGCAAGCGUUAUCCGGAUUUACUGGGUGUAAAGGGAGCGUAGACGGCAAUACAAGUCGGAAGUGAAAUACCCGGGCUCAACCUGGGAACUGCUUUGGAAACUGUAUGGCUGGAGUGCUGGAGAGGUAAGCGGAAUUCCUAGUGUAGCGGUGAAAUGCGUAGAUAUUAGGAGGAACACCAGUGGCGAAGGCGACUUUCUGGACUGUACCUGACGCUGAGGCGCGAAAGCGUGGGUAGCGAACGGGAUUAGAUACCCGAGUAU
rnacentral:rRNA from 1 species